GCCUCGAGGYGUUUACACGUCAGAUUGCAAAUCUGAAGUAGCAGACUAACCCCUGCCGGGGCUU
rnacentral:tRNA from 1 species